AAAGUAUGCUGGCAAAGACUUAGGCCGUUUCCGCACGGGCAAUGAAUGGCGGCCUGGAGACGGUAAAAACGCCGUCUCCAGGCCGCCAUUCGCACAGGGGGCGCAGAUGAAUCGUAGCCGCGCCGCCCUCCUGUCGCGGAGCCAGCGUUUCCCCAGAGCGCUUGGAAGCGCUCUUUUUGGGGAAACGCCGCCUCGAAGCCGCUGCCGAGCGAACGGCAGCGGCUUCGCGACGCCUCCCCCACC